UACGAGAGGGGCGAGCGUUGUUCGGAAUUAUUGGGCGUAAAGGGUGCGUAGGCGGCCUGACAAGUCUGAUGUGAAAUCCCUGGGCUCAACCCAGGGCCUGCAUCGGAAACUGUCGGGCUUGAGUAUGGGAGAGGUGAGUGGAAUUUCCGGUGUAGCGGUGAAAUGCGUAGAUAUCGGAAGGAACACCUGUGGCGAAAGCGGCUCACUGGACCAUUACUGACGCUGAGGCACGAAAGCUAGGGGAGCAAACAGG
rnacentral:rRNA from 1 species